UAACAGAAACUUACUUCGUAAUUCUUUUUUUUUAGUUGGGGAGAGAUGGCUGAGUGGACUAAAGCGGCGGAUUGCUAAUCCGUUGUACGAAUUUUUGUACCGAGGGUUCGAAUCCCUCUCUUUCCGCGUUACUUACCACAAUGUUUCAUUUCAAAUAACACAAAUAACCGUGGACAUCAUUAUUCCAACAAAGUUGGAUAUGGAUUUAUUCUCUAUUCCUAAUUUUUUUAUGUAAUACUAAAAAGACUGGAAAAAGUAGGCAAGGAAUAAAACG